rnacentral:rRNA from 1 species
GACGAACGCUGGCGGCGUGCUUAACACAUGCAAGUCGAACGAUGAAGCCCAGCUUGCUGGGUGGAAGAGUGGCGAACGGGUGAGUAACACGUGAGUAACCUGCCCCGGACUCUGGGAUAAGCGCUGGAAACGGCGUCUAAUACUGGAUACGACCCAUACCGGCAUCGGUAGUGGGUGGAAAGAUUUAUCGGUCUGGGAUGGGCUCGCGGCCUAUCAGCUGGAUGGUGAGGUAACGGCUCACCAUGGCGACGACGGGUAGCCGGCCUGAGAGGGUGACCGGCCACACUGGGACUGGUACACGGCCCAGACUCCUACGGGAGGCAGCAGUGGGGAAUAGUGCACAAUGGGCGAAAGCCUGAUGCAGCAACGCCGCGUGAGGGAUGACGGCCUUCGGGUUGUAAACCUCUUUUAGUAGGGAAGAAGCGAAAGUGACGGUACCUGCAGAAAAAGCACCGGCUAACUACGUGCCAGCCGCCGCGGUAACAC